GGGGAUGUAGCUCAGAUGGUUGAGCGCUCGCUUCGCAUGCGAGUGUACGGGAAUUGAUACCCCGCAUCUCCA
rnacentral:tRNA from 1 species